rnacentral:misc_RNA from 1 species
UUAAGUUCAGCGGGUAGUCCUACCUGAUUUGAGGUCAAGCGUUAAAGAAGUCGUGUCUGAGGCACGGUAUUAGAAGCCGGCAAACACAGGCACCGAGCGGUCAGAACGGCGAUGAAGAUAAACUAUCACACCGUGAACCGUCGGGCAACUACGUGACCGAGCUAAUGCAUUCAAGGAGAGCCGAACCUAAUACAAGGCAC